UACGUAGGGGGCAAGCGUUGUCCGGAUUUACUGGGCGUAAAGAGCGUGUAGGCGGCCAAGCAGGUCCGUUGUGAAAACUGGAGGCUUAACCUCCAGACGUCGACGGAAACCGCGUGGCUAGAGUCCGGAAGAGGAGAGUGGAAUUCCUGGUGUAGCGGUGAAAUGCGCAGAUAUCGGGAAGAACACCCGUGGCGAAGGCGGCUCUCUGGGACGGUACUGACGCUGAGACGCGAAAGCGUGGGGAGCGAACAGG
rnacentral:rRNA from 1 species